rnacentral:rRNA from 1 species
UACGGGGGGGCUAGCGUUGUUCGGAAUUACUGGGCGUAAAGGGCGCGUAGGCGGUCUACUAAGUUGGAUGUGAAACUCUGGGCUUAACCCAGAGCCUGCAUUCAAACUGAUAGGCUAGAGUUCUGGAGGGGAUAGCGGAAUUCCUGGUGUAGCGGUGAAAUGCGUAGAUAUCAGGAGGAACACCGGUGGCGAAGGCGGCUAUCUGGACAGAAACUGACGCUGAGGCGCGAAAGCUAGGGAGCAAACAGG